rnacentral:rRNA from 1 species
GACGAACGCUGGCGGCGUGCCUAAUGCAUGCAAGUAGAACGCUGAAGGAGGAGCUUGCUCUUCUGGAUGAGUUGCGAACGGGUGAGUAACGCGUAGGUAACCUGCCUGGUAGCGGGGGAUAACUAUUGGAAACGAUAGCUAAUACCGCAUAACAGUAGAUGUUGCAUGACAUUUGCUUAAAAGGUGCAAUUGCACCACUACCAGAUGGACCUGCGUUGUAUUAGCUAGUUGGUGGGGUAACGGCUCACCAAGGCGACGAUACAUAGCCGACCUGAGAGGGUGAUCGGCCAAACUGGGACUGAGAAACGGCCCAGACCCCUACGGGAGGCAGCAGUAGGGAAUCUUCGGCAAUGGACGGAAGUCUGACCGAGCAACGCCGCGUGAGUGAAGAAGGGUGUCGGAUCGUAAAGCUCUGUUGUAAGGGAAGAACGAGUGUGAGAGUGGAAAGUUCACACUGUGACGGUAUCUUACCAGAAAGGGACGGCUAACUACGUG